rnacentral:rRNA from 1 species
GUAGGUGGCAAGCGUUGUCCGGAAUUAUUGGGCGUAAAGCGCGCGCAGGCGGUUCUUUAAGUCUGAUGUGAAAGCCCACGGGCUCAACCGUGGAGGGUCAUUGGAAACUGGAGAACUUGAGUACAGAAGAGGAAAGCGGAAUUCCACGUGUAGCGGUGAAAUGCGUAGAGAUGUGGAGGAACACCAGUGGCGAAGGCGGCUUUCUGGUCUGUAACUGACGCUGAGGCGCGGAAGCGUGGGGAGCAAACAGGAUUAGAUACCCUGGUAGUCCACGCCGUAAACGAUGAGUGCUAAGUGUUAGGGGGUUUCCGCCCCUUAGUGCUGCAGCUAACGCAUUAAGCACUCCGCCUGGGGAGUACGGCCGCAAGGCUG